CCUGGAUUUACUGGGCCGUAAAGCGCCGUGUAAGGUGGUUUUGUAAGUAAGGGCGUGAAAGCUCCAUGGCUCAACUGGGAGAAGGCCGUUCUAAACUGCAGAACUAGAGGAUGGUAGAGGGAGGUGGAAUGCCAGGUGUAGCGGUGGAAUGCGCAGAUAUCUGGAGGAACACCAGUGGCGAAAGCGGCCUCAUGGACCAUUCAUGACACUCAGACGCGAAAGCUAGGGUAGCAAACGGGAUUAGAGACCCCGGUAGUCCUAGCCCUAAACGAUGUAGACUAGACGUCGGUGGUGUAAUAGCUGUCGGUGUCCAAGCUAACGCGAUAAGUCUACCGCCUGGGGACUACGGCCGCAAGGUUAAAACUCAAAGGAAUUGACGGGUCCCCGCACAAGCAGCGGAGCGUGUGGUUUAAUUCGUUGCUACACGAAGAACCUUACCUGGGUUUGACAUAGCAGUGGUAGGGAAGAGAAAUCGGACCGACCCUUCGGGGAGCUGUUACAGGUGUUGCAUGGCUGUCGUCAGCUCGUGUCGUGGGAUGUUCGGUUAAGUCCGCUAACGAGCGCAACCCGCGUUGUGUGUUAUAUGUGUCACACAAUACCGCCGGUAUUAAGCCGGAGGAAGGUGCGGAUGACGUCAAGUCAGCAUGACCUUUAUAUCCAGGGCUAUCCGCAAACAACAAUGGCCAGUACAACGCCUAGCCAUUUCGCGGGCAGGAUCCAAUCCUCAAAAUAUGCC
rnacentral:rRNA from 1 species